GUUUGGCCGGCAAGGGACGGGGCGUAGCAGGACGGCGUGUGGGGACAGACGAGAGGCAUUUCGGCACUUCCAGGCAGGAGCCAGAGGCACAGGGCAGCACUCAGCCAGAGGCGAGGGGUUGCAAUCGGAACUGGCACCAUUUCCCGGUGCAGGCAAGAGGAAGAUGAAGGUCCUGCUGAUGCCAGCACUGCUGCUCGCCUGCGGCAUGCUCACAGCUCGUGGGAAGCACCCGCACACGUUUGCUCCAGGGCUGGAAGGAAGCACUGUGGGAAACCUGACUGCCCAUGGCUGUGGAUCGGGAUGGGGCCGUGGUCGCGCUGCUUUCAUGGACCGGUGCUGCCUGCUCCGUGCCUGCUGCUACGCCAGGCUGACUGCACGUCGCUGCCGCGUGGGACAGACCCAACGCCUCCCUGCGCCCCAGCCAGGGGUCCCUGUCUGCAGCUCCGGGACGUGGUGCCAGCGAGCAGCCUGCAGGUGUGAGCGUUUGGCUCUGCUGUGCCGGGCACGCAGACGGGCACUGCGCAGGUGUCGAGGCGGGCGCUGCUGAUGGAGAUGGGCUCCUCGUAAUAAACCCACCUCCAUGCUGGUAAGCAAAGCGGAGCUCGGCGUGGCGCCAGGAGCGCUUCCCGAUCCUCUUCUUCAGGGCUUUUUGGCUACGAUAGGAGAACAACCGCCCUUUUGUGAAGCUGCGUCAUUAGACACUCAUUAGACACUGGGUCUGAGGAGGGAGGGUAGCACAGAUGUAAUGCUUCUGCUCAGAAAAACAAGGGAGGAGCAGACACCUGCGCCUUGUCACAGCAAAGGGCGAGAUGAUGGAAGCAGUCUUGCUGUUGGCAUUCACCCCUUUUGGCUCAAGCUCCCCAUCUGCAAAUCGCUGCACGGAGAUGUUGGCUCCCUCAGCUUCUUGCUUUGCUGCAGAACCUUGUAAGUUGCUCCAAAAUAAAACCGGAGAG
rnacentral:lncRNA from 7 species